rnacentral:rRNA from 1 species
AUUAACGCUAGCGGCAGGCAUAAUACAUGCAAGUUGAACGGCAGCACAGGUAGCAAUACUGGGUGGCGAGUGGCGCACGGGUGCGUAACACGUAUGCAACCUACCCUAUACAGGCGAAUAACCUUUAGAAAUGAGGGCUAAUACGCCGUAGUAUUACAGAUGGGCAUCUAUUUGUAAUUAAAGAUUUAUCGGUAUAGGAUGGGCAUGCGUCCCAUUAGUUAGUUGGUAAGGUAACGGCUUACCAAGACGAUGAUG